UACGAAGGGUGCAAGCGUUACUCGGAAUUACUGGGCGUAAAGCGUGCGUAGGUGGUUUGUUAAGUCUGUUGUGAAAGCCCCGGGCUCAACCUGGGAAUGGCAAUGGAUACUGGCAGGCUAGAGUGCGGUAGAGGGUAGUGGAAUUCCCGGUGUAGCGGUGAAAUGCGUAGAGAUCGGGAGGAACACCGGGUGGCGAAGGCGGGUCUCUGGGCCGUAACUGACGCUGAGGAGCGAAAGCGUGGGGAGCGAACAGG
rnacentral:rRNA from 1 species